UUUUAAAUGUAGUAUUUUAUAUAUGAAUGGGUGUGGGUGCGGACGGGGAAACCCAAAAGCUGUUGUUGGCAGAGAUGGAUACCUAAAUUUCACAACCGUCUAGUUGGGUCAUUUUAAAGAUUUCUCAAGAAAUAUAUACAUGACAACAAUUUGUGGAAGUUAUUUUAUAUCAUAUAUUGCUUAUGCUUAUUUGUAAAUUAGAAGACAAUGACACAUACUGUAACACCCCGUUUUUCAAAGCGAAGGUAUAUUUUUUUUUUCAAAAGGAAUUAAAAUAAAACAGAGAAUUAAAUCAGGAAAUGCCUUUGGAUAAAUAAUUGAGUCAUUAAAAUUUACAAGCAGCGGAAAAGUUUCUCCAAUUAUAAAUUCAAAACAUUUACACAAUAACAAAUGGUACAUGAAACCCAUUCAAGUAAAAAGUCAAACUGACAAUAUUAGUAUAAGUACAGUUUUCCAAACUAAAAAUACUCCAAUCCAAAAAGAAGGACACCUAGUCCCUAUACGUCAUCCUAAUUUGACCAUCCUACCAAAAAGCUAUACACCCUGAGUAUCUCCACGCGCCCCGUGAGAUCCUCCUAACGUAACUGCAGUCACGCGUUCCCAUCU
rnacentral:lncRNA from 1 species